GCUAAGUUGACUCAGUUGGUUAGUGUGUGGUGCUGAUAACGUCAAGGCUGCAGGCUCAAUCCCCGUAUGGGACAGCU